rnacentral:lncRNA from 1 species
AUGGUCACUUUCCUUUCACUCAGAUUCAUCCCUCGUGAAGAUGGAGAAGACAAGUUCACGUCCUGGUUCUCAAGGCUUGUGAGUGGGCAUAGAUUUGCAAGAAAAAGCAAGUUAGGUGCUGUUUUAGGGGUGUGUGUGGAGAAGCCAGAGAAUACGCAGGAAGCUUGUGUCGACUUCGUGUUCAGCCUUCACUCUUCUCCUUGGGCCAAGGUGACUGAGCUCUGCCCAGACUUGCUGCAAUGCCCCACUCCCUCUGCUUAAUUCCUUGUAAAUAAAACAGAGCUCCCUCUUCCCUGCACCACAGCUCAGUCCUUGUUUCCUUCACUGCUACGGUUCAGCCUAAUCGUAUCUCUUGGAAAUAAUAUGGGAAAGUUAUGCUGUUUUACUCCAUCAGAUUUAAUAAGUUUGGAUGCUUUCCAAGUACUAGGCAUUAAUCACACUUAAACCCAGGGCUUGAUAGUUCAUCCACCCGGAGUAUUCAUGUCAGAGACAUAAAACAAUCUGCUUUAAUGCCCAUGGUUCUCUUUAUAUUGAGCACUUGCCUUGUGUUAAUAAAACUUGCUUUGUAUGGAGGGGCUGGGGGUGUGAGGACUGGGGGCGGGGAUUUGUACAUCACGUAAAGCAUCUCAUGGCCAAAUGUUCCUUUCCUGUUUUAAAGCUUUGCAGAAUUAUAUGACGGGGGUGGGAGGGGGGAAGGGAAUAAGGUAAGCUCAGAAUAAGGAGGCAUUAGUAACACCUUGGCAGUGUCCAGAGCUCGGUUUCCAUCAGGGAGAUGAAGAGGAGCAUGGCGCUUCCAAUUGGACAGCUCUCCUGAUGUCAUUCUUGUGUUCCGUCCUGGGAGGCCUUGAAAUCAGACACUGCUGUUUGCCUAUUCCAGGGGAGGGUAGGAUGCUCACUGGCCUUACCACCUGCCACGAUGGGCGGGGCUGCAGGGAAGCACACAGGCCCAAUGAAAGCGUAGAAGAACUGUUUCGUCACCAGGAUGUGUUGGCUGUGCUCCUUAGAUUAUUAUUAUUGUUGUUUUUAAAGAUUUUAUUUAUUUAUUUGUGAGAGACACAUAUACAGAGAAAGAGAGAGAGACAGAGAGAGAGACAGAGACACAGGCAGAGGGAGAAGCAGGCUCCCCAUGGGAAGCCUAAUGUGGGACUCGAUCCCAGGACCCUGGGAUCACGACCUGAGCUGAAGGCAGAUGCUCACCUGCUGAGCCCCCCAGGCACCCCCUGACCGACCGUUAAUUUGAGAAAUAUUUGUCAUGUGCCUAUUGUGAUUGGGGCCAUCCUGUAGAUGUUAGGGACAGAGAAGUGAGCAGAUGCAGACUAUGUUCCUGCUCCCACAGGCCUUGCACUCACCUGGAGGGUAUCAGACCCUAGGAAUACGGAAGGAAUCUGCGCAGGUUAGGGAUGGCAGGUGCACGCAGGGUGAGGGGAUGGCAAACAAGGGAUGCAAGGACGUGCUCUGAGAAGCCCCCGCAGACAGGGCCUUUGGGCAGAGACCUGAAUGCAGUGAGUGAGCCAAACUUGGAGGUCCCUGAGGGGAAAGAACUUUGUAGAUGGGACCAUAGGUACAAAGGCCGUGAAGUAAAAGUAUGUUUGAUGUCUUCAAGGAACUUCUGUUGUCCUUCUACAGCCUACAUUGUCUGUUUAAGGAUAUGAUUUUUACCUUAAACCACAAUUUUCGAGUAUAAAUGAAUUGCUUUCCUGACGAUAUUCAUAACUGUUUGAGGACCAAAACCAUAUCUCAAGUGUGUCUUGUGCUUUCAUAAUGGCCAGCCCAUAACACGUGCUCAAUGAUGCAUUAAAAUUAAUGGACUCAGUGACAGAAAUAGUCACAUUAACCAUUAGGCAGUGGAUGUGUGGUUGAUAUGGAAUCUUUCUCAAGGAAAAGACAAAACUCCACUGUUUCUACCAUUGUCGGCCAGUUUCCUGUCUGUUCAGGUGUUAGGUAGGCUCCUUGGGCACAGGUGAUAAUUGAGCACUGUCCCGGGAAAUGGCCCAGUACUGGGUAGUUGACGAGACCUCUUCUUCCUCUAGAAUGUCCAUAAGAUCAAGGUGCAUCCUCGGGCCCUGCGGGUGAGUGGGGUCGAGGGGGUGAGGACAGGGUCCCUGGCCACACCGUGACACACAGGAAGGGUUUAGAAAUUCUCUCUGAGUCAUCUGUAGUGAAGGCACUGUGCAGUUUCUACUCGAGUUUAGUUUCUACUGUGCUCUAAAAUUAAUUCACAUGAAUUAAAGACACUUCACAUGUAUUCGAGGGGUUUGGGUUUAGAGGGAGCAUGUGCGAAAUCCCUGGAAAGGCCAGGAAUCCUUAUGGGAGUAUCCCAGCCCUCCUCUAUGUAGAAGCAGGCUGAGCACAUGUGUGUGUUUCUGCGGUUGACACAGUUAGAAUGGGGUAGAGGGCAGUUAGUGUGAAGGUCCCGAGGUGCAAGGCUUCUUGGACUGGUCAGUGGGUGUCAAGAAGGUUGCUAUGUUGUGUUCCCAUGGCACAUGUGUGUACAAAUCUCUUCGCUGUGGCUAGACUUUGAUUGAUGGGCGGGCCAAAACUGGGGUCCAGGCCUCACACCUGGUGAUGUGAUAACCCAAGUCUGAAGGACACAUGGAAGAAGCAGCAGAGGUGGGGGGAGGAGUACAGGGAAAGGCAAGGAGUGUUUUCUGCUGACUCCGCUUGGGUUCCCCUGAGUGUGGCCCUGAGACGAGGGCCUGGGUGCAGGUGGUUUCUCCGGGAGGGCCCUGCUUGGCCUCGUGAUGGGGAGCGCCAGCACGUCAGAGAGGCUCUGUUGUUUGCAGGGCCCAGUGCAGGAUAAAAAUGCAGAAUCCCUUGUUCAAAAGCAAUGAAAAAAUUCAAGAUGGUCACAGUAGGGCUUUAAGGCACAUGUAACAGGGACCUGGUGAGUGAAGGGGGAGAGGCUGGGCCUUGUGCUCUGGGCGUGUGUGGGGGGUGUGCUUGCCAGUGGGUAUCUACCUGGCUUUGUCCGCAGGGCCUGGUGGAGCCCUUGAGGCUGGUCCUCUGGAAGCAGGGCAGCUCCUUCACAGCCCCACCUCCUCAUCAACGGGGGCUUAGGGGGUGCCUUCGCCUCCUGGCAUUUCUGGCCUGCUCCGUGUAUGGAGGCUAGGUGCUCCCUGGGAGGAGUGUCAUCAGACAGACAGGCAGAUGUGGAAGUAUGUCCUAUUCGUGAUGGGCAGAGCAGCCCGUGGGCAGGA